GAUGAACGCUAGCUACAGGCUUAACACAUGCAAGUCGCGGGGCAGCAUGGGGGUUGCUUGCAAUCCCCGAUGGCGACCGGCGCACGGGUGAGUAACGCGUAUCCAACCUGCCCUUCACCACGGGAUAACCCGGCGAAAGUCGGACUAAUACCGUAUGUUGUCCAUUGACGGCAUCCGAUUUGGACGAAAGGUUUGGCGGUGAAGGAUGGGGAUGCGUCCGAUUAGCUGGACGGCGGGGUGACGGCCCACCGUGGCGACGAUCGGUAGGGGUUCUGAGAGGAAGGUCCCCCACACUGGAACUGAGACACGGUCCAGACUCCUACGGGAGGCAGCAGUGAGGAAGAUUGGUCAAUGGGCGUAAGCCUGAACCAGCCAAGUAGCGUGCAGGAGGACGGCCCUAUGGGUUGUAAACUGCUUUUAUGCGGGGAUAAAGUGGCCCACGUGUGGGUUUUUGCAGGUACCGCAUGAAUAAGGACCGGCUAAUUCCGUG
rnacentral:rRNA from 1 species